rnacentral:rRNA from 1 species
AGAGUUUGAUCCUGGCUCAGGAUGAACGCUGGCGGCGUGCUUAACACAUGCAAGUCGAACGGGAAGCGGUGUAUUUUUACUUUGGUAAUUUUGCGCCGUGGAGAGUGGCGAACGGGUGCGUAACACGUAGGUAACCUGCCCUGAAAUGGGGGAUAACCAUGGGAAGCUGUGGCUAAUACCGCAUAAUCUCGCCGGGACGGGAGUACCGGUGAGGAAAGCUGAGGCGAUUUGGGAGGGGCCUGCGGUCGAUUAGCUGGUUGGUGGGGUAAAGGCCCACCAAGGCGAUGAUCGAUAGCUGUUCUGAGAGGAAGACCAGCCACACGGGAACUGAGACACGGUUCCGACUCCUACGGGGGGCAGCAGUGAGGAAUAUUGCGCAAUGGGGGAAACCCUGACGCAGCAACGCCGCGUGGAGGACGAAGGUUUUCGGAUUGUAAACUCCUUAUCUGGGGGAAGAGAGAGGACGGUACCCCAGGACGAAGACACGGCUAACUAGGUGCCAGCAGCCGCGGUAAUACCUAGGUGUCGAGCGUUAUCCGGAAUUACUGGGCGUAAAGGGUGCGCAGGCGGCGAUACAAGUCUGGCGUGAAAGCUUCUGGCUUAACUGGGAGAGGACGUUAGAAACUGUAUGGCUAGAGUGAAUGAGAGGGGGGCGGAAAUCCCGGUGUAGUGGUGGAAUGCGUAGAUAUCGGGAAGAACACCAGAGGCGAAGGCGGCCUCCUGGCAUUUUACUGACGCUGAGGCACGAAAGCGUGGGUAGCGAACGGGAUUAGAUACCCCGGUAGUCCACGCUGUAAACGAUGUGAACGAGGUGUGGGCGGUGUAGAAGCCGUCUGUGCCGGAGCAAACGCGAUAAGUUCACCGCCUGGGGAGUACGGUCGCAAGGCUAAAACUCAAAGGAAUUGACGGGGGCCCGCACAAGCAGCGGAGCGUGUGGUUUAAUUCGAUGCAACGCGAAGAACCUUACCUGGGCUUGACAUGUACGUAGUAGUGAAGGGAAACCGGAACGAGCCUUCGGGCAGCGUAGACAGGUGCUGCAUGGCUGUCGUCAGCUCGUG